rnacentral:piRNA from 1 species
UAGUUGUGUGUGGAUGUGUGU